rnacentral:misc_RNA from 1 species
AACUUCUCAACCAACAUCAUCUGAUGUUGGCUUGGAUGUGGGGGUUGUUUUUGCAGGCUUUUUCUUGUUAGAAGGUCGGCUCCCCUGAAAUGGAUUAGUGGUAUCUGAGGCUACUACUGUGGGUGUGAUAACUAUCUAUGCCUUUGGUAUGCCGCAUGAACAGAUUACACUGCUUCUAACAAAACAAAAUUUGAUAA